GACGAACGCUGGCGGCGUGCUUAACACAUGCCAGUCGAACGGAAAGGCCCUGCUUUUGUGGGGUGCUCGAGUGGCGAACGGGUGAGUAACACGUGAGUAACCUGCCCUUGACUUUGGGAUAACUUCAGGAAACUGGGGCUAAUACCGGAUAGGAGCUCCUGCUGCAUGGUGGGGGUUGGAAAGUUUCGGCGGUUGGGGAUGGACUCGCGGCUUAUCAGCUUGUUGGUGGGGUAGUGGCUUACCAAGGCUUUGACGGGUAGCCGGCCUGAGAGGGUGACCGGCCACAUUGGGACUGAGAUACGGCCCAGACUCCUACGGGAGGCAGCAGUGGGGAAUAUUGCACAAUGGGCGGAAGCCUGAUGCAGCAACGCCGCGUGCGGGAUGACGGCCUUCGGGUUGUAAACCGCUUUCGCCUGUGACGAAGCGUGAGUGACGGUAAUGGGAAAAGAAGCACCGGCUAACUACGUG
rnacentral:rRNA from 1 species